rnacentral:lncRNA from 1 species
UUCCUUAGAACUAUUUUCAGCAGUUUCAUAUUUUUUCAUGUGAUGGAUUACUUGUUUCCCUCCUUCCCUUGUAAAAUCAUCUGAUACUGACUUUAAAGUAAGCUGCCCAAGUCCAUGGAAAUGUACCGUGCUAUUUGAUCAUAAAGUAGGACUCAUGGCAAUGGAUGCUGCUUUAACAAGUGAAAUAACCCAACAAAUAAGGAAGCAAGAAUUUCAUUCA